UAGGGAAUCUUCGGCAAUGGACGGAAGUCUGACCGAGCAACGCCGCGUGAGUGAAGAAGGUUUUCGGAUCGUAAAGCUCUGUUGUAAGAGAAGAACGAGUGUGAGAGUGGAAAGUUCACACUGUGACGGUAUCUUACCAGAAAGGGACGGCUAACUACGUGCCAGCAGCCGCGGUAAUACGUAGGUCCCGAGCGUUGUCCGGAUUUAUUGGGCGUAAAGCGAGCGCAGGCGGUUAGAUAAGUCUGAAGUUAAAGGCUGUGGCUUAACCAUAGUACGCUUUGGAAACUGUUUAACUUGAGUGCAAGAGGGGAGAGUGGAAUUCCAUGUGUAGCGGUGAAAUGCGUAGAUAUAUGGAGGAACACCGGUGGCGAAAGCGGCUCUCUGGCUUGUAACUGGCGCUGAGGCUCGAAAGCGUGGGGAGCAAACAGGAUUAGAUACCCUGGUAGUCCACGCUGUAAACGAUGAGUGCUAGGUGUUAGACCCUUUCCGGGGUUUAGUGCCGUAGCUAACGCAUUAAGCACUCCGCCUGGGGAGUACGACCGCAAGGUUG
rnacentral:rRNA from 1 species